rnacentral:lncRNA from 1 species
AUGUUUCUUAGCUUCAGUAAAAGUCUGAACCAUGUUUUCAGAUCCAUGGUUAUUUUACGUUGGGGUUGCCAGAUUCACCAGACAAAAAUAUGGAACACACAGAAUCAUGCUGCUGUCAAGUGCAUACAUGGUGACUCUCCUGUCCAGGCAUCAGAGGUGAUCCCAGUACCUUCACAGAAUGAACCUCUCUCCAAGACCUCCCCAGAGAAAAGGGCCACCCAGACCAUCCUGCUGAUGGUGAGUUUGUUUGUGGUUAUAUACCGGGUGGACCUGAGUAUCUCAUCUUCCUUCUUAUGGGCAUAUGAUCCUGUUACCCUGGGUGUCCAGAGGCUUGUGGGCAAUGUCUAUGCCACUGUAAGCCCUUUGGUGCUAAUCAGUUCUGAAAGGAUAGCCAAUAUUCAGUGAAAUAUGCAACAGAAGUGUGAUAGAUUUUUAGCAAAUUAAUAACAAACAUAAUCCACAGAAAAGUAUGUUCUUGUCAUCAGUUAAAUUAUUCAAGCAGCAGAUUUUUUGAUAUUUGAUUUAAUGAAAUUGUACAGAAUUCUACUUUUAUUAAAUCUAAGUUCUUUUGAAACCAAUGCUACCGAGAACUUGGUGGUUUCUUCAGUUCAGUAUCCACCACUUUAGCCCCA